UAAGUACGUCCUGGCUCUCACCCGAACUGUCAGCACUCUCAGGAGUAAAGAAGUUACUUUUGUUUGCUUGUUUCCUGGAGGCAAAGUACCAGUUGACUGACUUCUCCAGGCCUGGUGCCGGCUGACGAGCCACCCAGCCCGCGCUGACCCGGCCGAGGCACGGCUGGAGUUUGAGUGGCACCCGAGAGGUCUCCUCCGCAGAGCACCUCCACCUUGGAACCAGUAGCAAUCGUGGGCCAUGAGCCAGCCCCGGAGGUAAUGAGGCCAGAGGGUUUCAAGGCAGAAAUUCCAAGAGUCCCCGUGACCUGCAUGUGGAGCCACCCGCGGGACAGACGUGGAGACCAGCAACAGUUUCUCCCUGACAGCCACGCGUCCAGCCUUCUCUCC
rnacentral:lncRNA from 1 species